rnacentral:lncRNA from 1 species
GUCUGAACCAUGUAGUCUACUUAUCCAUAAUGAACCACAUGUGCGAACCAUGCAUUCUGAACCGAUCAACCGUAUUUCUCCGUAGGUCGACGAAAUAUGAGUGGGGCCAUGUCUUAGGUUGUGGAAAUGUGAGCCGAACUAGGAGAGUUAUUAAAGACGUCCCAUUUGUUUCAUUGCAACGCACGGGCAUUUGUGCUAUCUAUAUCUAUAUCUAC